ensembl:lncRNA
CAUUUCUUCUGCUGUUUUCUUAAUUUGAGCGGGACGGAGAGGACAGCAGUCGGAGAGCAGUUCUUUAACAAGCACAUUACAGUCUACUGCUUGUGAAGGUGACUUCCAUUUCUGAGAAAAUGAUUUUUGAAUGUACUGUAGAUUGUCACGGCACCUCACGUCUGAGAGCAUGGGACGACACAAAUGUCAGAUUUGUUUUGAAAGAGCGAGAAUGAAAUACUGACCUGACAAUUCAAUCUAACAAGGCAGGAUAUUUCCUAAAAUCCUAGUUAUAUGUGUUUGUGUCCCUGAAGCGCUAUCACACGAGAACACCUGCUACCUGCAGAAGAGUCCCUUCCUUUAAGAGCUUCAACAGCGUGUUAAUGGUGUGUCUUGUUCAUUGGUGUUACAGCCUCAAGAAAAGCAUUUGGUGGUUACUAAGGAAGUCUACAGAUUCAUGCCACCCGCCCGCUCAAGAGUAUAUCCAGCCGAUUACACACCCUAAGCAGCCGAUGAAUAUUUCACACCAGCUACAGGCCGAGGAGGAAUAUGAAUACAGAUGUCACUCAGUUGUCAAGAUCUCUCCAACGCCUCUGCUGUACUGCCACGAAGACGCCACACACAGUCUCAAUGGAUCCCGCCUGAAGCGACGUGCCGUCUAUCUAUAGCACUGUGAAAUAUUUUAAGAUUUUAUGCUUCUGCACCCCAUUAACAAUUGCCUCUGUGACAGGCUACAGCUACACCUGAACUGCUGAGGCUGCAGAACCUACAGCUCCAUGCAAAUAUUCACAGAAUAUUGGCUUUCGUUUUAUAUUAGGUGCAGCUUUUAACUGUGUUUUUACAUAAUAGCUUCUGAGGCACAUAAUUAUGAAUGCAUAAUGAUAACAGGGCUGUAAAUGGUACUCUAACAAGCUGCUUUAACCUUUUAUAUAGGGCAUCUUGAUAGCUACGUAUCUUGGGUAUGUACAUUUUAUAUACACUUGGCCUCAUGAAUGUGUCUCUGCAAAAUGGAUAUAAAUCUGAUCUACUUUUUCAAUGCUAUAUGUAGUUCACUUUUAAAAGAAUGCUAAUUCGGGGCUUCUUUGUGGUCUCAAAAUGUCUGUAUGUUGAUGUAGGCUCAUUUAGAAGGAGUGAAAUGUAUCUGGUCUGAACAAGCAAGUCUUAUCUCAAAUCACCUCCUGUUCAGUUUGGAAUCAGUCUUGAAUAAGUCUUGGAGGGUGUUGACGCAUGUGUUUCCUCUUAAUUUGACCAUCUUGAUUUGUUUCUUACAAACAGACAGCUUUUAAUGUCACAAGACGUUAAUUGAUGAACUGGAGUGAUAUGGAUUACUUGUUGAUUAAUGUGAUGUUUUUUAUCAGCUGUUUGGACUCUCAUUCUGAUGGCACCCAUUCACUGCAGAGGAUCCACUGGUGAGCAAGGGAUGUAAUGCUAAAUUUCUCCAAAUCUGUUCUGAUGAAGAAACUCAUCUUUAUUUUGAAUGGCCUGAGGGUGAGUAAAUGUCAAGCAAAUAUAAAUUUUUCAGUUAACUAUUCGUUUAAGUGGACCUAUUAAAAAUCGACAGUAAAUAACUGUAGAUUUCACAGCCAUUUUUUACAGUGUAU